rnacentral:ncRNA from 12 species
AUCCCUCGAGGUGGUAAAAUUUCGUUGCAACCACGCACCUUCGCGGUCAAAAAGAGAUGCAGGAGAGGCGACGCCUGCCGAGGGAU